UAGAGAGCAACUUGGCAGAGCAGCAAGCAGAGUAGGCAAGUGCUGAGGUUUGGCGUGAGUAGCAGCAAAAGCCCAUAGCAUCAAGAAGCAGGAAGUGAGGAGAAGGUAAGUGAAGGGCAGGCAAGGUAAUGGGAGGCAAGAGGCAAGGGGAAAGGGGAGGUAAGGGAGAAAGAGGGGAUGGGGAGGGGAGGGGAUGGGUGAAGAGCAGAGCGGAGGAAGGGCUGAGGGGAGGGCUGAAGGCAAACCAAUGAUGAAAAAAGAAAAGAAAAAAUAAGCACAAAAAAUAUGAAAAAAGAGAAAAAAGAAAAGAAAAAUAAGAAAAAAGAGAAAAAAGGAAAAGAAAAAAAAAUGAACAAAAAAGAAAAAAGAGAAAAGAAAAAAUGAACAAAAAAGAAAAAAGAGAAAAGAAAAAAAUGAAAAAAAGAGAAAAAAGAGAAAAGAAAAAAAAUGAACAAAAAAGAGAAAAAAGAGAAAAGAAAAAAAUGAACAAAAAAGAGAAAAAAGAGAAAAGCUAAAAAAAGAAAAAAGAAAGAAAAGAAAAAAGAGAAAAUAGAAAUAAAAAAGACGACAGAAAAAUAUGAAAAAAAAAAAGAAAAAAGAAAAGAAAAAAAUAACAGAUGAAAAAAGAAGAAACGAAAGGAAAAACGGAUAAUGACAAGAGAAGAAAGGUAAAGAGAAAGAAGAAAAAGCCAAGUCAAAAAGUAAAGAAUAACUCGAAGGAAGGAGUGGAUGGCAAGAAAUACAGGGAAAGCAAUGCAUAGCACAGCAAAGCAAAGCAAGGCAAAAUAGCAGCCAAAGCCACGAGAAUCAAGAAGUCAGUGAAGAGCAGGAAAGGAAUGGAGGAAUCUGGCCAGAGCUGUGCCCCUGCUUGCCACAGGAGCUGCGCGGGAGGAGAAGAAUGUGGGCCAAAAGGUAAGAGGAGCUCCUUUGGGUUCUGGGCUUGAAGCAAAGCUGAGAAGCCAUGCCCGGGAGGAGGUGUGGGUAGCUACAGGCCACCUUGCUAUCUCCCCAAGAGAUGAGGUGUGUGGGCUAGGCACCGGGCAGGAGUGCUGGCCAGAAGCAAGCAUCUCUGUGGAGGAAGGCAAAGGGCGGAGGAGGUUCAAGGGUAGCUACCGGGCAUGGCCUUGCUCAGCAAGGGGAGGAAAAGCCUGAAGGGCACGAGAAGGGGACAGAGAAGGGCAGGCAGUAGGCGUGAAGCUGUGAGCAGAGUAGAGAGCAACUUGGCAGAGCAGCAAGCAGAGUAGGCAAGUGCUGAGGUUUGGCGUGAGUAGCAGCAAAAGCCCAUAGCAUCAAGAAGCAGGAAGUGAGGAGAAGGUAAGUGAAGGGCAGGCAAGGUAAUGGGAGGCAGAGGCAAGGGGAAAGGGGGGAGUAAGGGAGAAAGAGGGGAUGGGGAGGGGAGGGGAUGGUGAAGAGCAGAGCGGAGGGAAGGGCUGAGGGAGGGCUGAAGGCAAACCAAUGAUGAAAAAAAGAAAAGAAAAAAAUAAGCACAAAAAAUAUGAAAUAAGAGAAAAAAGAAAAGAAAAAUAAGAAAAAGAGAAAAAAGGAAAAGAAAAAAAAUGAACAAAAAGACAAAAAAGAGAAAAAAAAAUGAACAAAAAAAUAAGAAAAAGAGAAAAGAAAAAAAUGAACAAAAAAGAGAAAAAGAGAAAAGCUAAAAAAUGGACAAAAAAGAGAAAAAAGAGAAAAGAAAAAAAAUGAACAAAAAAGAGAAAAAAGAGAAAAGAAAAAAAUGAACAAAAAGAGAAAAAGAAAAAGCUAAAAAAAAGAAAAAGAGAAAGAAAAAAGAGAAAAUAGAAAAAAGAGAAGAAAAAUAUGAAAAAAAAAAAAGAAAAAAAAGAAAAAAAGAAAAAAGAAAUAGAAAUAAAAGAUAGAAAAAAGAAAAAAAGAAAGGAAAACGGAUAAUGACAAGAGAAGAAAGGUAAAGAGAAAAGAAAAAAAGCCAAGUCAAAAAGUAAAGAAUAACUCGAAGGAAGGAGUGGAUGGCAAGAAAUACAGGGAAAGCAAUGCAUAGCACAGCAAAGCAAAGCAAGGCAAAAUAGCAGCCAAAGCCAAAAGAAGUCAGUGAAGAGCAGGAAAGGUAAGUUUCCCUUAAAGCAAGGGGGAAUGGUAGUGGAUGGGGGCAAAAGAGA
rnacentral:lncRNA from 7 species